rnacentral:rRNA from 1 species
AACGAACGCUGGCGGCAUGCCUAACACAUGCAAGUCGAACGAGACCUUCGGGUCUAGUUGCGCACGGGUGCGUAACGCGUGGGAACCUGCCCUUAGGUUCGGAAUAACUCCCCGUAAGGGGUGCUAAUACCGGAUAAUGUCUUCGGACCAAAGAUUUAUCGCCUUUGGAUGGGCCCGCGUUGGAUUAGCUAGUUGGUAGGGUAAAAGCCUACCAAGGCGACGAUCCAUAGCUGGUCUGAGAGGAUGAUCAGCCACACUGGGACUGAGACACGGCCCAGACUCCUACGGGAGGCAGCAGUGGGGAAUAUUGGACAAUGGGCGAAAGCCUGAUCCAGCAAUGCCGCGUGAGUGAUGAAGGCCUUAGGGUUGUAAAGCUCUUUUACCCGGGAUGAUAAUGACAGUACCGGGAGAAUAAGCUCCGGCUAACUCCGUG